AAAAAAAAAAAAAAAACUUUAUGUUUUCCCAUUAGAGCCUUAUUUAAUUAGGGUCUCACCCUUUAAAUUAACCUUAAGUACCUCCUUAAAGACACAAUAAUGAGGGACCCUUAUUGGGGUUAACUGACCUCAUUUAACCUUAACUACCUCCUUAAUGGCCCAAUAUCCAAAUAUGCUCACGUUGGAUGGUAUAGGGCUUUGACAUAUGAAUUUGGCAGGGGUUGCUAUUCAGUCCAUAACAGGCACACACUUCCAAAUUGUACCCUGGAACAUGUCAUUUUUCUGGAAACGUUAACACCAGCCAUGAUUUCCUGUCCUUCAAGCUCUCCAGUGCCCUUAUUCUCACUGCAUCUGCUCUCUGACUUCCCUGGGUCCUUCCAUUUCUCUCUGUCAUCACCUCCCCAGUUCCCUCCUCUGCUCACUCUUUUCCCCUCUUACACUGGACCCAUAAUUGACACUCCAUGAACCCCUGGUUAGACAUUUUAGGAUACCUAUUGCAUCACCUCUUCUGGGCAUCCCCAAGAAAUGUGUGUUUGAGAAUCUUCAGGUGGGCUUCACAACCACAUCCUAUUCCCCGAGUGUUGAAAUGAUGCCCAACAGGAUGUCACCCAUUUGGGAAGGAGGACCUCUAGAAUAUGCAGAGAUGGGCAGCAAUCCUGGAUCCAUUGGAUACUACAAUAGUUCAUCCCUCAAUUCCCUGCCGGGACAGCAGCACGAGAAAAACAGCUGAGGAGAGAACUUGCCCUCACCAUCCCAUGUUGCCACUUCCUUUUCCAUGCCAAUCCUGAAUUCUCAUCAUAUCCAGCCAGGCACAGGCUCUCUCAUUAAUCAUGUAAACAGGACAGCUGUGGACAGUAUUUCAAUCUCAUGGAUGCUCUUGCUGCUCAUAACACAGUUUUAUUUUUGCUGGACUAAAUUCCAGAGGAAGAGAGAAAUGAACAAGGGAGCAGGAUGGAGCAUCUGCCUAUUGGUUCAGCCUGCCUGAAACUCAGCAGAUGGCGCACAGUUCCCAGCUGGUGAGCACUCCAGUGGGAAUUGGACAGAGAAAGCUAAUCAGCCGGGAAGAAGUGGUUGGCGUUAAAUAGGAUAAUUUGCUUUGAAGCACCCAAGUCACCCAUAAUGCAAUCAUUCCCCUCCUCAUGGUGAAAGUCAAAAGAGCAGAGAUUUUCUUAGCUAUUCCCAGUCCUCAGGGACUUCUUCUUCAUAUGCAAGAGCUUAGCUUGUAAGGUGGAUUUCUUUUCUUUUAGGAAAUUUUGAGGUUGUGGUGAGGGCAUAUCUGUCAAGUGAAGUAUUUACUCAUUAGACAUCUCUGCCAUACCCCAGAAACUGCGACAGUUUAUCAGUUUAAGUGCAUUUGGUUACGAGUGACAAAAUCUCUGGCUAACAAGGCUUAAAUGAUGAAGAUAUUUAAUUAUCUCACAGAACCCAAAGUCUGGACAUAGUGCCAGAAUUGUUACAGCAGCUCAACUAUGGCAGCAGGAGCCCAAGAUCUUCCCAUCUCUCCCCUCUGCUCCUCUCAGUGAGUAAGCCAUGUAUUCCAGUGCCUUCCACAGCCCCAAGCAUCACAACCUUAUACAACCUCCUAAAGAGGGAGAAAAGGAUCAGAGACAAGAGUUUCCACUCACAUGGACUUCUCUUUUCACCAAGGGAUUAGAUCUUUCCGGAAGCCCUCAAAAGACUAGGGCUGGAUCACAUGGCCAUCGGUACAUCAAUCACUGGCAAAGGAGGAUAGAUUUACUUCAUUGGCUUAGACCACUGUGGUUCAUUCCUUGAAGAUGAGCGCAAUAUCCUGAGAACAGAACUGAGAUUCAAUCAUUAAAGAGGAGGCAGAGGCCUGGCUUGGUGACUCAUGCCUGUAAUCUCAGCACUUUGGGAGGCCGAGGAGGGAGGAUCACCUGAGGUCAGGAGUUUCAGACCACCCUGGCCAACAUGGUGAAACACCCUCUCCACUAAAUCCAAAAAUUAGCUGGGCACCGUGGUACACGCCUGUAAUCCUAGCUACCUGGGUGGCUGAGGCAGGAGAAUCACUUGAACCCAGAAGGCAGAAGUUGCAGUGAGCCAAGACGGCACCAUUGUACUCUAGCAUGGGCAACAGAGUGAGACUCCAUUUCAAAAAAAAAAAAAGAGGAGGUAGAAAUAGCUGGUGGGAGGCUACCUCUAGUGUUUGCCACAGCCAGGCAUGAGGGAGAUAGUGAUGAAUAAGAUAGGCAUAGUCUCUGCCCUCAUGGAGCUUACAGUUCAGUGAAUAAGAUAGACAAGAAACAACCCCUAAAUAUAUGAUCUAAAAUUGCUCUGAUCACUAUGAAUGAAAAGCUGGGGCUUAUGAAACAAAAUCUCAUUGAGAUUAGAAGGUAAGGUAGCCUCCAUCACUCAUUACAUUCAUCUUUCAUUGUGGCCGCAGGGUAGUUUCCUAAGCCACCUGUUUCAGACCAGGUUCUCUAGUUUGAAUCUGGGGUAGCAGGCAGAAUAAUGUCCCCCGCCUAAGACGUGCAUUCCCUAGUUCCUAGAACCUGUGAAACAUUACCUUACAUUGCAAAAGGGACUUUGCAUAUGUGAUGAAGUUAAGGAUCUUGAGAUGGGGAGGUGAUCCUGGAUUAUCUGGGUGGGCCCAAUGUAAUCACACAUGAGUCCUUAUGAGAGAGGCAGGAGGGUCAAAGGGAGAGAUGUUAUGGUAGAAGCAGAGGUCAGAGUGAUGCAGCCUCAAGCCAAGGACUGUGGGCAGCAUCUAGAAGCUGGAAAAGGCCAGGAACAGAUUCUCUCCUGUAACUUCCACAAGGAACACAUUUCUGCUGACACCUUAAUUUUAGCCCCAUAAGAUACAUUUUAGACAUCUGAGCCCCAAAACUGUGAGAUAAUAAAUUGGUAUGGUAUCAAGCCAUUAAGUUUGUGGUAAUUUGUUACAGCAGCAACCAAAAACAGGGUUACAUCCAGUGAGUCCAAGUUCAAACUCAUAACAUCUGCAGGCACCUAUGCAUACCUGUAGAUGAAAACCACAGGGAACCUGGGGGAGGAGCAACGUCAAUCAUUUUGAACAACUUUAAUCUAAGGGUAGGUGACAUAAAAUGAGUUGCUGCAAUAUUUUCAUGAAUCCGUCCUCUUCCUCCCUCUUAAGGGACAUAUUGGGAGGCUUAGUGUUUUCUGAGUACUCUCUAAAAUAUAAUCUGAGUUCAUUAUAUUGGGGUUCUCUCUAAGCUGAACUUCCCAAAUGCCCAUCAUCUGCUGUACAUAAUAGAGAGCAUGCCUUAAGAUUGUAGGCUUCCUCUCAGAGAAACAUAGAAACAGCUAAUAUUUUUCAGCAAUUCUUGAGAGCUGGUGCUGGUGCUGGAAUAAUCUGUAUCGGGAGGAGGAUUCUGCUGUACAUCUCACCUGUGAUCUACUAAUGCAAGUCAAUCUUGAGCCUUCCCUUGAGAGCAGACAUGAAGAUCAAGAGGUGCUGAGAAAGUCUUUUGUAGGACUCAGGAAGAAAACUUAAUGAGACAAAGGCAUUCAACCAUCAUCGUGUGGACAGAGAAACUAUUAUUAUAGCACAUGCCUAAAAGAAAGUAAAAUAAGAUCAAAGGGAAUGUUCCAAUGAAAAUAAAAAAUAUGAUAAUAUGGCCAGGCACAGUGGCUCACACCUGUAAUCUCAGCACUUUGGGAGGGCGAGGCGGGUGGAUCACCUGAAGUCAGGAGUUCGAGACCAGCAUGGCCAACACGGUGAAACCCUGUCUCUACUAACAAUACAAAAAAUUAGCUGGGGAUAGUGGCAGGCACCUGUAAUCCCAGGUACUCGGGAGGCUGAGGCACGAGAAUCACUUGAAACCGGGAGGCUGAGGUUGCAGUGAGCCAAGAUCGCACCACUGCACUCCAGCCUGGAUGACAAAGCAAGACUCUGUCUCAAAAUAGAAUAAAAUAAAAUAAUAAAAUAAAAAUUUGAUAAUAUGAAGAAAUAUAAAAUCCCAAUGAUUUUUUGGUCCUAUAAAGGGCCAAAAAGUCAUUUUAUGAAAUUGAAAUGGCCAUCAAAAUCCUCUCCACCCCUUCCUGCCCAGCCCCAUUGCCACUGCCUUGGCAUAAGCUCUCAACAUCUCUUGCUGGUUUUAGCUUUCUCACAAGUCUUUCUCCUGCAGCACUUGCCAGUCCAUUCUCCACACUCCUGCCAGAGUGGAUUUUAAAAACAUGAAUCUCAUCAAAUCACUUCCCUGCUAAAAAUAAUUUGCUGACUCCCAAGGACAGGCACCUGAUAGAAAAAGUAUUUUUUCCACAUGGCACAUGUAUAUUUUUUAUACAUGUAUGAGCUGGUCUACCUCCCACUGCACACUACCUCUUACCCUCAGCCUACAUACAGGUCAACAACACUGAGCUGACUGAGCAUGCUGUGCUGUUUUAGGACUCCAUAUAUUCACGCAUGCCCUUCUACCCAUCAGCAAUGCCCGUUCACCCACCCCAUCCUAAAUCCACCUAGAAAAUUUCAACUCAUUUGCUAAGACUAAAAGCAAACAUCACUUUCUUAGUAGUCUUCUCAGCCCAUUCAGAGUUGAUCUUCACUGGCCAUCAGCGCUCAUCUCUCCAGUAGCUAUUAUCACACUGUAUUACUCUUGUUUUUAUAUAUGUGCCCUCUUACCCAGACGGUGGGCUUCCUGAAAAAAAGAGCCUGGCUUAGUCAGCCUUAUAUCCCUGGCAGCUAACAAAGUCAUGCACUCAAUAAAUGUGUAUUGAAAGCAUAUGAAUUAGAGGUUGUAUUUGGCUGCCUGUAACAGUGGCACAAACAUAAACUUGUGGGAAUUAUUUUUCCUCACAUACUAAGACUGGAGGUUGGAGGUCCAAGGCUGCUGCAUCAGUGCUAUGGUGACAUCAAUGCCCCAGGUACUGUCUAUGUUUCUGCUUCUCUUCUUUGAGCUUGGUCAUCUCAAGUUGCCUGGUGUCUGCUCUCCAUUCCAGAAAGGAGGAAAAAGAAGAAUGUGGCAAGGAUUAAAGGAGCUCUGUCUGUAUCAUGAAGGCAAAACUUUCUAAAAUAUCCUUGCCAACUUCUACUUAUAUCUCAUUGGCCAGAACUGUGUCACACUGCCACCCUUAGCUGCAAGGACAACUGGGAAAUGUAGUUUACUAGCUGGGCAUAUUGCCAUUCUGAACAAAAUCAGCAUUUUCUUAGAAAGAAUUAGAUAAUAAACAUUGCAUAGGCACUGAGCACAGAACGUGUAAAUGGGAGCAUGCAUGAGAAAUUGAGACUUAACAAGGUGCGAUUAAGACAGUAACACCUUGGUAAAAGCUAUACUCAGAGGUAAAGCUUCUGAGGACCAAGGUGCCCAGUCCAGGGUCAAGCACAGAGAACACUUUCUAUAGUGGUUCUCCUUCCAGUUGUGGAGCUUUUUUAAAAAAUUCAGAUGCCCUGGCCCACCCUCAUGACACAGAAUCAAAAUCUCAGAGGUUGGGAAUCUAAAAUGUAGGUCUACCACCACUGUGUAUAACUGAUGCAACCAUAGGGCAUGGUCUGGCAGACACGUGUGGCUUUUGAAAACUGUACAGGUUUUUUUUACUGCAUGACCAGGGUUCACCCUCGGCCUUGGAUGCUUGCCCUUUGGUUUAAGCCUCAAAGUCAAACCUCAGAUAAGAAGAUGGGCCUAUCAUGCAGUGGCUAAGGGCAUGGGCCCUAGAAUCAGACUGUUUCAGCUCCUCCCCUUACUAGCAGUGUGUGUAAUCUUAAGGUAGUUGAUGUCUCUGUGAAUCAUUUUAUUAUCUUCAAAAUGAGAAUAAUAGUCUAUAUCUCAUAGGGUUAUUAAGAUAAUCAAAGAAUAAUACCAGUAUAGAAUUUGGGUUAUAGUCUGGCACAGAGUAAGCAUUCAAAAGAUAUUUGGUACUGAUGUCUGUACCUAACAGAUGCAGAUCUGAUACCCUAGAUCUGUGAGCAAAGAGUGAGGAGAUUGUAUUCAUUUGGUUUGUUGAAGAUGCCUUUUACUGGGUUAAAGAAAUUCCCUUCUAUUUGGUGUUAACUGAGAACUUUUAUCACAUAUCGGUGUUGAAUUUUGUCAAAUGCUUUUUCUGCAACUACUGAGAUGAUAAUUUGAUUUUUCUCUCUUAAUCUGUUAAUGUGAUUGUUGCAUUGAUUUUUUAAAUGUUAAACAAAAUUCACAUAUCUGGAAUUAAAC
rnacentral:lncRNA from 10 species